rnacentral:rRNA from 1 species
AUGAGCGUGGGCGCCCUCCACCGGGCAGCCAAGGCCAGGGCCAACGUCGGUGGCAGCGUCUCGCAGGGCGCCAAGCAGCUUCCGGCCUCCGCGGCGGCGGCGGCGGAGAGGCGGCGAGCGGAGAAGGCCGAGGAGGGGCUGAGGACGGUCAUGUACCUCAGCUGCCGGGGUCCCAAUUAG